AAAUGAAAAUUUUCUCCAUUGUACCUUAUUCUAAAAAUUACAAAUUUCUGUAGCUCUAAAGUAUAAAACUUAGUAUACUAACCAUGUAUCAAGGGAGGAUGAAGUUUCUAAUCUUUAGAACACGUGACUGAGUGAAAUCCCCAUAAAAUGGUCUUCAAUCCGAAAGCACCGCCCCUAUGGCGCCAUGGAUAGGAUGAAACUCGAGCUGUGGUGAAUGGCUCGGGC
rnacentral:lncRNA from 1 species